rnacentral:rRNA from 1 species
AGUCGAACGGACGAUGCGAUUUCGGUCGCAAAGUUAGUGGCGGACGGGUGAGUAAUGCAUGAGCAACCUGCCUUUCCGCGGGGAAUAACACAGGGAAACCGGUGCUAAUACCGCAUACGCCAUUUUGACCGCAUGAUCGGAAUGGGAAAGGGGCAAUUCACGGAAAGAUGGGCUCAUGUCUGAUUAGAUAGUUGGUGAGGUAACGGCCCACCAAGUCGACGAUCAGUAGCCGGACUGAGAGGUUGAACGGCCACAUUGGAACUGAGAUACGGUCCAGACUCCUACGGGAGGCAGCAGUGGGGAAUAUUGGGCAAUGGGGGAAACCCUGACCCAGCGACGCCGCGUGAAGGAAGAAGGUCUUCGGAUUGUAAACUUUAAAUAGCAGGGACGAAAAAAAUGACGUUACCUGCAGGGAAGCCACGGCUAACUACGUGCCAGCAGCCGCGGUAAUACGUAGGUGGCAAGCGUUAUCCGGAUUUACUGGGUGUAAAGGGUGCGUAGGCGGGUACUCAAGUCAGAUGUGAAAUACUUUGGCUCAACCAAAGAAUUGCAUUUGAAACUGAGUAUCUUGAGAGCAGGAGAGGUAAGCGGAAUUCCCAGUGUAGCGGUGAAAUGCGUAGAGAUUGGGAGGAACACCAGUGGCGAAGGCGGCUUACUGGACUGCAACUGACGCUGAAGCACGAGAGCGUGGGGAGCAAACAGGAUUAGAUACCCUGGUAGUCCACGCUGUAAACGAUGAAUACUAGGUGUAGGUCAGAAAUGAUCUGUGCCGGAGUAAACACGAUAAGUAUUCCACCUGGGGAGUACGACCGCAAGGUUGAAACUCAAAGGAAUUGACGGGAGCCCGCACAAGCAGUGGAGUAUGUGGUUUAAUUCGAAGCAACGCGAAGAACCUUACCAGAGCUUGACAUCCACGGAAUACGGCGUAAUGGCUGUAGUGCCCGUAAGGGAGCCGUGAGACAGGUGGUGCAUGGUUGUCGUCAGCUCGUGUCGUGAGAUGUUGGGUUAAGUCCCGCAACGAGCGCAACCCUUAUGAUUAGUUGCUACGGAAGAGCACUCUAAUCAGACUGCCGUUGACAAAACGGAGGAAGGUGGGGACGACGUCAAAUCAUCAUGCCCCUUACGUUCUGGGCUACACACGUACUACAAUGGCGUCCAACAACGGGGAGCGAAAGCGCGAGCCGGAGCAAAUCCCAAAAAGACGUCCCAGUUCAGACUGCAGGCUGCAACUCGCCUGCACGAAGUUGGAAUUGCUAGUAAUCGCGGAUCAGCAUGUCGCGGUGAAUACGUUCCCGGGCUUUGUACACACCGCCCGUCAAACCACGAAGGUCGGGAAGACCCGAAGU